rnacentral:tmRNA from 1 species
GGGGGCGAACGGCUUCGACCGGAUGAUGGACGGACAAGUUGCAUGCCCAGGACGCCGGUUGGCCUGGCUAAUCAUUCCGGCACCUAAAUUUUUAAGCGACAACACACAGUUGCGCAUGGCUGCCUAAAUUGGCUGCCCGUCCUGCCUGAUUUUGCCUGUGGGUUGGGUAAGGACGUCACUAAGCAGGCUGGCUGAGCCGGUUGUUCGGGCCGGCAAAGCGAGAACUAACCGAAAUAGCUGAGCUAAGAGCCUGUCGUUUUGGCGCUUGGUAAGGUGAAGAAUACAAUUAAGCGACUAAGCAUGUAGAAGCUUGCCUUGAAACAUCUCGGGACGGGGGUUCAAAUCCCCCCGCCUCCAUUG